rnacentral:rRNA from 1 species
GGCCUCUUGUUUAUAUAUGAGGUCUGACCUGCCCGGUGAAAUUAUUUUAACGGCCGCAGUAUUUUGACUGUGCAAAGGUAGCAUAAUCAUUAGUCUUUUAAUAGGGGGCUGGAAUGAAGGGUUUGACGAGGUGUUAACUGUCUCAUUAAAUUUGUUAUUAAAAUUUGACUUUUCAGUUAAAAGGCUGAAAUUUUAUUGGAAGACGAGAAGACCCUAUAGAGCUUUAUAAUUGAAGAUUUAAUUAUUAUUUGUUUAUUAUUUUUUAUUAUUUCUUUAAUUAUUUUGUUGGGGUGACAAAAAUAUAUAAUUAACUUUUUUAUUUAAUUAACAUUGAUUAAUGAAUAUUAGAUCCAAUCUUAUUGAUUGUUAGAUUAAGUUACCUUAGGGAUAACAGCGUAAUCUUCCUUCAGAGUUCAUAUUUACGGGAAGGCUUGCGACCUCGAUGUUGGAUUAAGAUAAUAGUUAGGUGUAGCCGCUUAAUGUAUAGGUCUGUUCGACCUUUAAAUUCUU